GGCACCAAAUCCGUGUCCCGUUCAGUGAAAGCUGGUCUCCAGUUCCCCGUGGGCCGCAUCGGCCGCUACCUCAGGAAGGGCCGCUACGCGCAGCGUGUUGGCUCUGGUGCCCCUGUUUACCUUGCCUCUGUUCUGGAGUAUCUUGCUGCUGAGCUGCUGGAGCUUGCUGGAAAUGCGGCCAAGGAUAACAAGAAGAACAGGAUCAUACCUCGGCAUAUUCAGUUGGCGGUGAGGAAUGAUGAGGAGC
rnacentral:misc_RNA from 1 species